GGCCUGGGCUGCAGUCUAGGGUAAUGCUGGAGCUGGAGUGAGGGCCGAGCCCGGGGCUUGGGAUGGGGCUGUGACCAGGGCCGAAAAAGAAGUCGCCGCUGGUACCAAGGACAAGCCCGUGUCCG